rnacentral:lncRNA from 1 species
CUAAGAAGCAGUCAGUGGGCUGAACCAGCUGUGACAGAAUGGCCUUUUUACUAACAGCAGUCUUGGUUUUCCAGACUUUACUGGGAAAUGCUGCUGGAGAAGGAUGGGAAUCAUAUCUCAAUUUUUCCCUUUGGAACCACACAUUUUAUUUCUAUGACAAUUACACAGAUGACUAUCCUCCAGAAAACGCCACAGAUUUUUAUUAUCCAGAAUACGUCACAAGUUAUUAUCGUGAAUUUGAAACUUUGUUUGAAAAGAAUUUGACAGAGUCUGCAGGAUCAUCACUCCACGGCCAUCUUCCCUUCUUCUUUGUCCUUCUCCAUCUUCUAUGUUUUUUGCUACAACAAUUCACACUUCUUUUGUAGAAGAUGUGAACAGCUUUGCUUUGAAUUAGAACAUUCCUCAAGGAGGAAAACAAAGAACUCUGUCACACAUGUAAAUUACUUCCCCUACAAUGAAUCAGUCAUCUUUUUUUAGUGCAGUUUAUGUAUUUAUGUAGAAACACAAACAAAUAUAACAGCUAUGUUUCCUCAUAGGUAGUAUAAAUUGCAUGAAUGUUGACUAGCUGUUUGUAUCUUCUGUAUUUCUUCCUCUCACAUUUCCUCACUAUCAUUCACUGGGUCCUAUUGUAAAUAAGAAAUAUGUGCCAACAAAAUGAAGCACUGGCUGAUCACUCCAGAUCUUUUAGUGCUAUCUGAUGUUCUGACAUCACUGGAUCAGCUGCUGCUGUCUCCCUGGAAUGCA